UUUAAAGGAAGGCCGACUAAGAUCAGCGACGUCCUGUCGCAACGUCGGCACUCCGACAUCGUGUCAU
rnacentral:sRNA from 1 species